rnacentral:rRNA from 1 species
UACGAAGGGGGCUAGCGUUGCUCGGAAUCACUGGGCGUAAAGCGCACGUAGGCGGAUCGUUAAGUCGGGGGUGAAAUCCUGGAGCUCAACUCCAGAACUGCCUUCGAUACUGGCGAUCUUGGAGUCCGGGAGAGGUGAGUGGAACUCCGAGUGUAGAGGUGAAAUUCGUAGAUAUUAGGAAGAACACCAGUGGCGAAGGCGGCUCACUGGCCCGGUACUGACGCUGAGGCGCGAAAGCGUGGGGAGCAAACAGG